rnacentral:rRNA from 1 species
UGGGGAAUAUUGGGCAAUGGGCGAAAGCCUGACCCAGCAAUGCCGCGUGGGUGAAGAAGGUCUUCGGAUUGUAAAGCCCUUUCGGCGGGGACGAUGAUGACGGUACCCGCAGAAGAAGCCCCGGCUAACUUCGUGCCAGCAGCCGCGGUAAUACGAAGGGGGCUAGCGUUGCUCGGAAUUACUGGGCGUAAAGGGCGCGUAGGUGGCUUGGUCAGUCAGGCGUGAAAUUCCUGGGCUUAACCUGGGGGCUGCGCUUGAUACGGCUAGGCUGGAGGUUGGAAGAGGCUCGUGGAAUUCCCAGUGUAGAGGUGAAAUUCGUAGAUAUUGGGAAGAACACCGGUGGCGAAGGCGGCGAGCUGGUCCAUACCUGACACUGAGGCGCGACAGCGUGGGGAGCAAACAGG